UUAUGCCUGUUUGGUUUUAGGUUGGGGUGACCACGGAGUAUAAAACAACCUCCAUGAAAAAAGGACCAAAAAUCCUUAUUAGAGAAAGACAUUUCUAAAAUUAAUAAAUUAAUUUUUAAUGAUCCGAUAUUCGAUCAACGAACCAAGUUACCCUGGGGAUAACAGCGCAAUCCACUUCAAGAGCUCCUAUCGACAAGUGGGUUUACGACCUCGAUGUUGGAUCAGGGUAUCCUAGUGGUGCAGCAGCUACUAACGGUUCGUUUGUUCAACGAUUAAAACCCU
rnacentral:rRNA from 1 species